rnacentral:rRNA from 1 species
AGAGUGUGAUCGUGGCUCAGAUUGAACGCGGGCGGCAUGCUUUACACAUGCAAGUCGAACGGCAGCAUAGGUGCUUGCACUUGAUGGUGAGUGGCGAACGGGUGAGUAAUAUAUCGGAAUGUGUCCGGAAGUGGGGGAUAACGCAGCGAAAGUUGCGCUAAUACCGCAUAUGCCCUGAGGGGGAAAGGAGGGGAUUGCAAGACCUUUCGCUUUCGGAGUGGCCGAUAUCGGAUUAGAUAGUUGGUGGGGUAAAGGCCCACCAAGGCGACGAUCCGUAGCUGGUUUGAGAGGACGACCAGCCACACUGGGACUGAGACACGGCCCAGACUCCUACGGGAGGCAGCAGUGGGGAAUUUUGGACAAUGGGCGCAAGCCUGAUCCAGCCAUGCCGCGUGAGUGAAGAAGGCCUUCGGGUUGUAAAGCUCUUUCGGACAGAAAGAAAUCCCACAGGUUAAUACUCGGUGGAGAUGACGGUACUGUAAGAAGAAGCACCGGCUAAUUUCGUGCCAGCCGCCGCGGU